AAAAGAUAGAAAAGAGAAUAGAAACAGAAUAGCAUGGACGAAACAGAGAAGGAAAGAAGGAAAGAAAGAAAAGAAAGAAAGAAAAGAGAAAAUUGAGGUUUUGAGGUUCUAAGCUCAUUUGCUAAUGUCGUGUACGAGUCAUUGUCCGAGAAAGGAAAGGAGAAGGUGGACAAGGAUUGACUCGAGAGAAAUUUCGUUAAGUUAAAGUCGGAUCGUUGAAUCAGCAUCCAAAGCCGACUUUGAACUAAUUGUGGUGGUGAACAUUUCUCAUACUUUAAAUCAUAGUGUGGAAGAAGCGACUUGGGAACCAGAAGAAACGAUGAGAGCACAAUAUCCUCAUCUCUUCUCAGCUAACAAGGAAAACGAGGCAUCGGCAUCCAAAGGAAAAGAAAAGAUCGUUGAGGAGUAAACGUGUAUUCCGGGUUUGUAUUACUAUAACUUAAACUAUUUACUAAAUGCUAUAUUGAAAUAUAUGUGAAUUGAAAUAAUAGAUGUUUUGAAUUGUUUGAGUAUUUGAGAUUGUUGUAGAAAUGAAUUCAAAAUUGGAAAAGUAAAAUAAUACCCUAUUAACUUAUCGGACUAGAUUGGAUACAAAUGGCAUGCCAUUGGAUUUGUGAUGUGGUGAUGAGAUUUGUAGUUCGGCCGAUAAGAUGAUUAUAUUAUUAUAUGCUUCGGUUUAUCCGAAGAGGCAUUUAAUGCCUUAUUGGUGUGUUCUGGAGGAUUUAAAUAAUUUCGGGUGUGUUUAGGUUGGAUAUUCUGGCGUGUUUGGGUGGAAUCCUCGUAUCUGUCAGAGUCCGAGCCUUGUUAAUAGGGUAAAUAAUUGAAAUGAAAAUUUGAAAAUGAAAUUGGUUGAUUUGACACUAUAGAAAAAUACGAGAAAGAAUG